rnacentral:rRNA from 1 species
AUAAAAAACCAACGCCCUUCGGGGCUCCUUGGUGAAUCAUAAUAACUUAACGAAUCGCAUGGCCUUGCGCCGGCGACGGUUCAUUCAAAUUUCUGCCCUAUCAACUUUCGAUGGUAGGAUAGUGGCCUACCAUGGUGGCAACGGGUAACGGGGAAUUAGGGUUCGAUUCCGGAGAGGGAGCCUGAGAAACGGCUACCACAUCCAAGGAAGGCAGCAGGCGCGCAAAUUACCCAAUCCCGAUACGGGGAGGUAGUGACAAUAAAUACUGAUACGGGGCUCUUUUGGGUCUCGUAAUUGGAAUGAGAACAAUUUAAAUCCCUUAACGAGGAACAAUUGGAGGGCAAGUCUGGUGCCAGCAGCCGCGGUAAUUCCAGCUCCAAUAGCGUAUAUUAAAGUUGUUGCAGUUAAAAAGCUCGUAGUUGAACCUUGGCCCUGGCUGGCCGGUCCGCCUCACCGCGAGUACUGGUCUGGCUGGGGCUUUCCUUCUGGGGAACCUCAUGGCCUUCACUGGCUGUGGC